CUGUUCCUGAGUGCUGUCUCACUUCACCUAAACACUCAACAGGGUCACUUUUGUGCUUCACGUCAUGCAUGAUGUCUUCCUUUUCUUUGUUCCCCUUCUUUUUACUACCUCUUCCUUUUGACAAAUUUGGGACUUCUGGCCUGCACUUUCCUGAUUCCUUCGGUCUCCCCUCUUUAGACACAUUUUGCUCAUCAGGAGAGGAUACCAAUUUCUCUGACAACCCUGACUCUGGAGACUCAGUGCCAACACUGGAACAAUGAUUUCCCUCUGGAUCACUUUCAGGAUUUGAGGAAGCACACGAGAUUCCCAAGCUUGACACUCCUGAACAACGAAGCAGUUCUCCUGAAAAUAUCACAGUGCUGAACAUGUUGCCCGUCCCAUUUCCAGCUGUAGUUAAAACAGAAGUAUCGGAACAAGACAAACCAUCCCUUUGUUUUUCUCCGUGCAUGAGAUUCCCAAAUACUUCUGCAUUGCUCAUACUUUCUGGACUAGGCAAAUCUUUCACCCCAGAAUUGGAAAUCUUUGGGAGCCUCUCUUUUUUCCUUCCUUUUUUACAGCUCUUCUCAUGCAUCCUCAAAAUUGGAGCAUCCACAGGAACAGCACAUGGCUUAGACAAAGUCAAAUCAUGAAACUCUUCUGGAACAUCGAUUGGAGUAUCAGGAAUUAGGUUGAUGACUUCUGAAUCAGGUGAAGUUCCAGGAUCCGAGAACCUGUUAUUGAUCGAUCUUCCAUCCUGGGAAGGUGACUCAACAUGACAAACUAAAGUCUUAUCAGCUAGAUCUUGAACUGCGCUUUUUUCAGGUUGGCAUCCUUCUGAUAAAGAAACAUAGUCAUUAUCCAAAUUUCCAUUGCAACCAUGGAACUGCACACUUAGCACCUCCUCUCCAAACCUAUCAUCAACUUCGCUGGCAAUUUUGGGCAUUUCUUUCAAUUCUUCUCUAGCAUUACAGUUUUUGUUAGUAUCAUUAUCAAUAAGAGGAAUAACAUCCAUCAGACAAUGUGAACCGAAUUUCACCUUCAAGGAAAUCGGGCCAGUUGGAAUGGAGCUUUUACCCUUUGAUUUCCGUGACUUUCGAUCGAUCUGCUUCUUACCGUGUUUCUUAUUUCCGCUACCACCUUUUUUUGCUAUUCUUAAAUUUUUCUGCUUCCCCGAAGCUAUCUCAAGCCUGACAUUACGUUCUAAAUAUUGCACCGUAUUUUCUAACAAACCCCAGACCGAAGUACGAGCUUGUUUACUGAAAUAGCUUCUCCUCUUUCUUGUAAUCUGCAAAGAACUAAGAUCUAUGGAUGUUUUUUUAAUGGCUAUUCUCCUGCCAUUUCUUGCUGGUACUGUAGCCAAACUCUGGCUUAACUUGCUGUUGCGCCCACUCCUUCUCCGAGGAGCAAUGCAUGCAUUGUCAGGGCAUUCACUUUCAGAAGCAUUAUCAGUUUCUACAGUAUCUUUGCCUUUAUCAUCCUCCUUUUGUGACAACUCAGUUAUGCUAAUUGAGUCAGAAACAUUCUCCAGAACAUCAGUCCCUGAAACAUCAAGUGUGACCGCUCUCUGAGACACAUCAGCAGAUCUUAUCUCAAAGGGUUGAGGUGAUUGCAAAGAGACAGAUAAGUUUUCAGUUGUGCAAUUGGGAUCCAUGGCAUAUGUACUCUGCCCAAAAUCGCAGACAUUGUCUGCUGUUGAUAUCUGGGAAAGCAUAACAACAGUUUUACAGCAAUGUUCAAAGAAAGCAUAGGCCCCAAUGAUAAUUCCUCCUUAUACCAGUACAAGUCAAGAACUAACUGCCAUGCAAAGAUAUGCUUGCAUCAGAAAUUCACUGAAGUGAUCUGUAAGAGCAAAUGAUAGUUAUAUUAAUUAGAAAAGCAUUCAUAAUCUUCAUCAAACAAGUCUUGAAGUAAUCAUACACACAGAAAUGAUGGGAAUUGUAAAUAGAGAGAAAUUCCCACCAAAUUAAGGGGGGGGAUGCUAUAAUAUGGACAAGAAACCCACCACCAUAAACAAUAAAGAUGUCACAAAACAUAGCUAUGAUGUCAAGGAUAUAAUCAAGUUACCAGGUAUGAGAAGGAAGAGUGAGCUAUUCUGUUUUCUUUCUUAAAUGGUAGUAGGUGAUCAUUCCAUUCCACCACUAGGCCUCACCCUUGAGGGCAAGUCAAUCACCUACUACUACAUUGCAUGUUUGCAAUAGAGUUAUGGUUCUAGUCUACUCCAUGAGGUGAGUUUGAUGACAAGCAGUUGGAUGUAGAAAGAGAAGAGUUGUGGAAGAUUGCUCAUCUUUUAGUUUUCGACUGAUUAGGAGAAAGAAAAAAGAGAAUCUUUUAGGAUACAAAAACUCCCUAGUGAAAAGCUAAUUGCUUUCGUUUCUCCACUUAUUCUUUUGGUCCAGAAAGUAUGCUUCCUGUAUCAUGUAAUGAUUAAAUCUCGUGGAGUCUGAUGUAACAGCGUACUUUGGUAAUGUAUCACUAUCUUGGUGGAACAUUAAUGAAAUAUUUUAAAAUUAACAGAGAACCCGGUGCAUACACAUGCUAAAGGAAGCUUCAGCAAUUAAACAGUGCAUAACCCAAUACUUACAGAUCUGCUAAAUAUUAAUUAAAAUAAUGCGCCCAACACUUUCCAACACCCACCCGACCUAAAAAUACUGUUGAAACAUCUUGCACAAGCACAUAUAUACAACUUCAAUUUUAAUAAAAAAUUUGUCCUACACUUAUUUUUUGUGCCUAGCUGGGACUAAGACCUAGCAGAGUCAACUAAGCUAGGUGUUCUCCAAUCUGCAUAACCCGUGGCGGCAGAGUUACUCACCGCCUCUACGGACUAGAGGGUGAUCACCAAGCCCAUUAAAGUUGACAUGAUCACUUACUACAUUGAGCUUGAUAACCGAACGCCGGAAAAACAAAAAAAAUGUUUAGUUUUAGUAAACGGAAGCUUAAUGCCGGCACAGAUAACAACUCGUAUGUACAGGGAAAACUGAAAAGUAACACAUCCCCGUUUUUUCCCCAGAAAAUCCCGAAAGCGAAAGAGUAGAUACAGCAAUAAAAGCAAACCCUAGGCAGCUAACAUCAAAAUCCCUAAAAUCAAAGCGCCAACACCAAUGCAGAUACAUACAUAUACCUAACUGCCACAAAAUCAAAAAAAAAAUACAGAAAAAGGAAGAAUCAACAAUAAAGAUCAUACCUGGUGAAAUUGAAGAAGCUGUUGAGGAACAGUAAGAAGGCCAAUUUCAGCAAAUAAACAUAGAAGUAUCUCUCUAGGUUUUUAGAGAGAGAAUGGAUAUUUAUUGUGGCGUUUUCUAGAGAGAGAAAGAGGAAUCACUUUGGGUCAGCAAACGGUUUUUAAGAGUUGGCGAAAGAGAGAAAUGGCUCCGGCGGAACUCAUUUCAGCUUUUCUUCACCUUUUUCUAUUUUAUUUUGUUUUAUCCGACUAUUAUUAAUAUUGGGCUCUAAAUACUGAGUAAUUAUUUUCCGAAACACGAAGUCAACCUUAUUACUUUUAUAUGUUUUAAAAAUAUAAAAUUCAGAUAAUUAAAAAUUACUACUCCUAUAAAAUGAUACAUUCUAAUAUACUUUUAUAGUCUAAAAUAUUUUAAAAUAUCAAAAGACAAAGACGAAUUAGUAAUACAUUCAUGCACUGAUAACAAUAACUAGUAAAACUUUAACAUAUUACUCCUUUUGAUUUUUUUUAUUUGAAAUUGAAAUACAUUGAACACGAUAAUUUUAAUCAUAAUAUAUACUUGAUAAAAUUGUGUUUUUCUCCUAUAAAGAGUAAUCAAUAAUUUAAUAUCUUUUUGGAAUAGCAAAUGUGAAAUUAAUUUGUAAUAAGUUACUCUUAACUUUGUUUUUUUGUAAAAUUAAAGUAAUAAAUGUAUCGUGAUGAAGAAUUAUUUAAAGUUUUUUUAUUUUCAAUUAUAAAUUUUGAAGUUUAACUCUUAAAAAUAUAAAAAUUACCUAUUGAAAGUGUUAUCAUUAACAAUGUAUGUACAUGCAAAUUCGUAUUUAGAUAUAUUAUAAUGUGAAUAUUGAAUACAGAUGAAAGAAAUAUGUAAAUUCGUAUUUAGAAAUAUUAUAUAGAUAUCGAAUAGAGAUGAAAGAAAAAAUGUAUAAAAGCAACAUAUGGACUUUUUUAGUACUACAAUGAUUUUUCUGUUUGUACUUCUUUUAGCAUAUGGGUGAUUCAAUGACACAUGGCAUAUUUAGGGGAUAGUAAUAUCUUCGCCACUUUUUUGUUUUUUUCCUUUUUUUGUUUUAGUUUUGACCGGUAGCCAGAAAAGGUUUUGAUUUAAAGGUGUGUUUGGUAUAGUGAAAAUAUUUUUCAUAAAAAAAAAAUAUCAAAAAAGUGGAUUUUUUAUUUAUUCUUAAUAUUUUAUUAGAAAGUAAAAAAUAUAUUUUAAAAAUAUUUAUAUGUUAUUUAGCGAAAUGGAAUAAAGAGUGGAGUUGGAGACUAGCAGGGGUGGGAUGAUCAAAGGAUGGGGGAUUGGGUAGGUGAGAAAUGACAAUAAAUUUAAAAUGAAAUUUAUGUAACUUGUUUUCUUUAAUUUCAUUAGAUAAGUCAAUUUUUUAGAAAAAAAAUUAAUAUUUUUUAAUCAAUUCAAACAUAAAGAAACAUUGAAAAAUAUUUUCCUACCUACCAAACACACCCUGCUUAUUUUCUUUUCUGAGUUUAAUAAUGGAAUGUACUCUCAGCUUUGACCCAAAGUCAUUGUUUGAUUUACAAUCUUUAAAAUGGAAUGAUAAUGAAGCGGGACAGAUUAAAUUAACAUUUAACUAUAAAUUAUGUACUAAAUUUUAAAAAAUUGUCUAUGUAUAAAUAUUUAUAUGGUCAUAAAUUUGAUUAAAAAUUAAAUAUUUUAAGUUUUCAAAAACUGAAUUAAAUUACUUUUUGGAUUUUUGAGAUUUAUUACUCAUAAAAAAUUAUUUAAAAAACAAUAAUUAAGUAAGAUACAUAUUGAAAUACAAUUCUAAAUUUCAAAAAUCACAACUUUAAUAAUUUAAAUUUUAACAUUAAAAUCUAUGAGAAAAUGAAAACGAAGUCAUUCCCUGCUAAAGUUUUUCUCUUUUGACUAUCUAUCCUAUUUGAAUUUAAUUUUGUUUUGCUUAGCUUAUCCCUAUUUAAUCCCACUUUGCUUAGACCCUAUUUUGAAUUUAAUUAAUUUUUUCUUCCUACAUUCUUCAUUAUUUGAACAUGUAAAAGUGUAUACAAUUCUAAAAUCAAUUAAAAUCUUAAUUACUUGGAAAAAAAAAUUCCUCGUGAAUUAGGUCAACAGGCAAAAAAAAAAAAGAAUAAAUAUAAUUAAAUCUUCAAAAUACUUAAUUGAAAAAAUAAUUUUUUCCAAAUUCAUCAUAUAAAAUAUAUAAUUAAGAUUAUUUUCAAGUUCACAAACUCUUAGAGUGCAUAAAUCUGUUUCAAUAAAAAGAGCACAAGCAGUGAAAAGAAAAAAACAUAAAAUAAAGUAUAAUUGGUUAUGUGUAGUAGUAUUAUAUUAGAGUGUUAAAAUACAAACUUGAAACAAGGAAGAAAUAUUUAUAAAACAAAAUAUAUUUCAAAAAAAUUGUCAUUAGUUAUUUUUUAUCUUUUUUAUUCAAUAUCUCCCUCAGUAUGUCAUUUUAUAUAUGGAUUUAUUUGUUUUAAAAUACUAACUUAAUAGUAGUCAUUUUAAAAAAAUUAUAUAACUACAGGGCCACUCUUCAUUCUCUAAAUUCUAGAAGACCAAAAGGUUUAAUUUGGGUGAUUGGAUAGUACUUCCGGCAUUUUUAUUUAUACGUCGUUCUUACUAAGAAUAGAUGUUUCUUA
rnacentral:lncRNA from 1 species